GAAGCGGGAUCGACGGCGCCUGUGCCCCGAGGGGCCUAGGGCGCCUGUGCGGCAGCGCUCGCGGCCCGGAGUCGCGGCGGGGCAGCCGGGGGGCGCGGGGCGGAAGCGAGGGUCUUGCUCUGUUGCCCACGCUGGAGUGCAGCGGCGUGAUCUCUGCUCACUGCAACCUCCACCUCCUAGGUUCAAGUGAUUCUCCUGUCUCAGCCUUCUGAGUAGCUGGGAUUCUAGUUGGAGUGCUUAGUGCAGUUGGUGAGAGCGGGAGCCACACUCAACGUCUCCACCACACGGUACGCGCAGACGCCAGCCCACAUUGCAGCCUUUGGGGGACAUCCUCAGUGCCUGGUCUGGCUGAUUCAAGCAGGAGCCAACAUUAACAAACCGGAUUGUGAGGGUGAAACUCCCAUUCACAAGGCAGCUCGCUCUGGGAGCCUAGAAUGCAUCAGUGCCCUUGUGGCGAAUGGGGCUCACGUCGACUACGUAAUUCGAAUUGACUUGAUUUUUUCAAGUAAUCCUAGAAAGGGGGAGCAUUCCAUAUAGAAACUGCUGAAACUGCCACAGGUGCUUCUCCGAAAACCUUACAGUUGUGGCAUUGAAUGUUCAGUAUCGCUUCCUUUCUGCACACGAGGCAUACUGUUGAGCCUGAGAAAUGCCAGUGGCCUGACAGCAGCAGACAUUGCACAAACCCAGGGUUUCCAAGAGUGUGCC
rnacentral:lncRNA from 1 species